AAUUAUCAACCACACUUGGUCAUUCAUUGAUUAGACUUUUUGUGGAUUGGACUUGGGAAUUGCUGGCUUGUAAGAGAGUCGGCUGUCCUUAAAUGCAUUAGCAAGUGAAGUUAAUUUUACGUGCACGGCCUUUCUGACGUGAUAAUGAUCGUUGUGGGCUGGAAGCGUUUAAUUGAUGAAGGCUUGCUUCUAAAAUCAAUAGUAAAUUUUA
rnacentral:misc_RNA from 1 species